rnacentral:lncRNA from 1 species
AUGAUUGCACCUCCUAAGUCAUCAGAUGCUGCUUCUGCCAUGUGUUGUUUACGGUAUUGCCCAUCCCUUUGUAUUUCAGCAGGAUAUUUCUUCUGGUGGGUGCCCUCAAAGCCAACACCACCCAGCCCAGCAUCGUGGAAGAAGGGCAGGUGCUCAAAUGUGAUUGGUUCUUCAGCCGCCACUGCCAGCCAAUCGAAUUCGACUCAACAGAGGUUCCAGUCCGUGGUUGCUUGGCCCUGUGACUUGGGUCCUGUGACGAGGUGGAACAUCAUGGUGUCGAUGUGGUCGCACAGCCGGGAGCCAGGAGAGACAGAAGGAGCAGGAGUCCCAGUGUCCUCUUGGCCAGCAGAAACCCAGGGACCCAACUUCCUUCCACCAGGCUGCACCUCUUCAGGGUUCCACAUUUCCCAGUGGCCCCACAGGCUAGCAUCCAAGGCUUUAGCGUGGGGGUAUUCGGGGGCAUUUACUAUCCACUGGAGAUGGAUGAGCUAACAACCUUGACCUCCCUCCUUUCAGUUCUCUGGGUCUCCUGUAGGCACGUUCCGGCCUCAGCCUUGCCUGGGCUGUCUCAUCUGUCUGGAACGUUUCUCUCCCAGAGGCCCAUUGGGUUGUCUCUGUCACCAUCUUGGACACGUGCUCUAAUGUCGCCUUCUCAGGAAUGCUCUGGCCAUCUUAUUUCCCUCGUACUUCCUUCUUCUCUGCUGUAUUUUUCCCUAUAGUACUCACACUGCUAUGUAAUUUACUCAUUUAUUUUUAGUGAAGAGAAUAAAUCCUCUCUCUCAGAAUUUAAAUUCCAUGAGGAGAGUUUUUUUUUUAAUCUGUUUCGUUCACUGCUAAUACCCCAGCGCUUAGAUUAUGCCUGAUGUGUGAUGUAUGUUGUUGCCUAAGAAGCAGAAUAGGUGAUAAACAAGUAAAUAAUAUAAAUUAUUUACAUUGGGAAGAAGUAUGUAAAGUCCUUAAGUUCCAUUUAUCCAUCUAGCUGUCUGCCUGUGCGUCCUUCCAUCCAUCCACCCAUCCCUGUUCUUUUCCCUCCUCACGAUACUUCUCAAAUCUUUGUGUAUAACUUUUGAAACUUUCCUUAAGAAAAACUGAUACAAGUUAAGACUUUGCUUUUUAGGUUAGAAUUUUGUAUCCGUUUGAUGUUUAUUUGAAUGUAAGAAGACGAUGGAGAGUUCCACGAUUCAGUCAAGAAGUGUGUGUCCAGGACCUGAGGGUGUGGUUGAGGGGACAGCACCUGCCGACCACGCGCCAGGUCCAGACCCAAUCCCCGGUGCCACAAACAAAAGCAGGCACAGACCACAAGGGAAUGAAGGAAAGAGGGAGGGAGGGAGGAACAAGGAAGGAAGGAAGGAAAGAAGGAGGGAAGGAAGGAGAGCAGGAGGGAGGGAGGGGAACUAGUGGCACAGCACCGUGUAGGUGGUGUGCACCCGGGUGGGAGGAAUGCUUGCACUUCACAGCAUCCUCCUAAACUCCCUGCACCUCUCUCCCCAGACCCCCACCCUGCCCCAGCCGGGCACAUCAGGCACCAGCACCUUCUGUGGUGUCCAUCCUCGGGGCGGGGUGGGGGCGGUGCGCAGAUGUGUGCAGUGUCUGGAAGGAGACUUCGGGGCUCCGACCUGCCCGUCGUCACCGUCAUGGCAGAGUUGGUUCUGCAUAGGCUGCUGUCAGGUUCUCCCUACUCCCCAGAAUCCUGGGCUCCAGUCCCACCCACAGAGCAGAGGGCCGGUUUCUGCGGUCUCACUGACUCCUUCACUCACCCUGUGUCCUUUUCCUGUUCUCCAACUCUGGAGCACUUCCGAGUCUGUCCUGCCUGGAAAGCAAAGCGCAAUGGAACGUAUGUUCUCCUGGUCACCCUCUCCCUCCCUGUCCUGGCAUCCUGUCUCCAUCGCCCGUGCUCCACACACUUGAGUCUGAUCACCACCCAGUGCCAACCCAGCAGUGCUUAUCACCGAGUACUUGGUAGCAGUCUGGCUGCC